CAAUAACGUUAGCAGUCGAACAUUCUCAUAUAGAGAAUAAGGUAACAUUCACGAUUUUCAAAAAGAAUUGCACUAAAUUCUCGGUCUUUCAUAGACGACAAAUGUUGAUCAUGAAUUGGUUAUGACCCUCGAACCACUAGAUCGUAAUACCUGAAAUAUGAGUUCCACACCUCUGGAAGAAGUUGAAGAUCUAUGCAUAUCUUCGCUGCGUCAUCUCUGCCAAGGCCGCCCACUUUCAUAUCCUUCAGCACCCAUGAUUUAUUCUCGGUAUCCUUGAUUUGCCCCACCAGCGAUCUUUUUCUUUCUCACCUUCAAACGAGACCCCUUCGAAUCACUCGAGAUAUCACCUGC
rnacentral:lncRNA from 1 species